rnacentral:rRNA from 1 species
AUGAACGCUGGCGGCGUGCUUAACACAUGCAAGUCGAACGAAGCAUUUAAGACAGAUUCCUUCGGUUUGAAGUCUUUUAUGACUGAGUGGCGGACGGGUGAGUAACGCGUGGGUAACCUGCCUCAUACAGGGGGAUAGCAGCUGGAAACGGCUGGUAAUACCGCAUAAGCGCACAGUACCACAUGGUACAGUGUGAAAAACUCCGGUGGUAUGAGAUGGACCCGCGUCUGAUUAGCUUGUUGGCGGGGUAACGGCCCACCAAGGCGACGAUCAGUAGCCGACCUGAGAGGGUGACCGGCCACAUUGGGACUGAGACACGGCCCAGACUCCUACGGGAAGCAGCAGUGGGGAAUAUUGCACAAUGGAGGAAACUCUGAUGCAGCGACGCCGCGUGAGUGAAGAAGUAGUUCGCUAUGUAAAGCUCUAUCAGCAGGGAAGAUAGUGACGGUACCUGACUAAGAAGCUCCGGCUAAAUACGUG